UAGGGAAUCUUCCACAAUGGGCGCAAGUCUGAUGGAGCAACGCCGCGUGAGUGAAGAAGGUUUUCGGACCGUAAAGCUCUGUUGUUGGUGAAGAAGGAUAGAGGUAGUAACUGGCCUUUAUUUGACGGUAAUCAACCAGAAAGUCACGGCUAACUACGUGCCAGCAGCCGCGGUAAUACGUAGGUGGCAAGCGUUGUCCGGAUUUAUUGGGCGUAAAGCGAGCGCAGGCGGAAGAAUAAGUCUGAUGUGAAAGCCCUCGGCUUAACCGAGGAAUUGCAUCGGAAACUGU
rnacentral:rRNA from 1 species